rnacentral:rRNA from 1 species
GGGGUGCUCGAGUGGCGAACGGGUGAGUAACACGUGAGUAACCUGCCCUUGACUUUGGGAUAACUUCAGGAAACUGGGGCUAAUACCGGAUAGGAGCUCCUGCUGCAUGGUGGGGGUUUGAAAGUUUCGGCGGUUGGGGAUGGGCUCGCGGCUUAUCAGCUUGUUGGUGGGGUAGUGGCUUACCAAGGCUUUGACGGGUAGCCGGCCUGAGAGGGUGACCGGCCACAUCGGGACUGAGAUACGGCCCAG